rnacentral:rRNA from 1 species
UAGUCUGCAACCCGACUACAUGAGCUGGAAUCGCUAGUAAUCGCGGAUCAGAAUGCCGCGGUGAAUACGUUCCCGGGUCUUGUACACACCGCCCGUCACACCAUGGGAGUCGGAAAUGCCCGAAGUCAGUGACCCAACCACAACGUGAACUUUGUUCACGUGGAGGGAGCUGCCGAAGGUGGAGCCGGUAACUGGGUGAAGUCGUAACAAGGUACC